CCUACGGGAGGCAGCAGUGAGGAAUAUUGGUCAAUGGACGAGAGUCUGAACCAGCCAAGUAGCGUGAAGGAUGACUGCCCUAUGGGUUGUAAACUUCUUUUAUAUGGGAAUAAAACGUUCCACGUGUGGGAUUUUGUAUGUACCAUAUGAAUAAGGAUCGGCUAACUCCGUGCCAGCAGCCGCGGUAAUACGGAGGAUCCGAGCGUUAUCCGGAUUUAUUGGGUUUAAAGGGAGCGUAGGUGGUUUGUUAAGUCAGUUGUGAAAGUUUGCGGCUCAACCGUAAAAUUGCAGUUGAAACUGGCAGUCUUGAGUACAGUAGAGGUGGGCGGAAUUCGUGGUGUAGCGGUGAAAUGCUUAGAUAUCACGAAGAACUCCGAUUGCGAAGGCAGUUCACUGGACUGCAACUGACACUGAGGCUCGAAAGUGUGGGUAUCAAACAGGAUUAGAUACCCUUGUAGUC
rnacentral:rRNA from 1 species